rnacentral:rRNA from 1 species
GGGAGGCAGCAGUGGGGAAUAUUGGACAAUGGGCGCAAGCCUGAUCCAGCAACGCCGCGUGAAUGAUGAAGGCCUUAGGGUUGUAAAAUUCUUUCGCUAGGGAAGAUAAUGACUGUACCUGGUAAAGAAGCCCCGGCUAACUCCGUGCCAGCAGCCGCGGUAAUACGGAGGGGGCUAGCGUUGUUCGGAAUUACUGGGCGUAAAGCGUGCGUAGGCGGAUCAAUAAGUAAGGGGUGAAAUCCCGAGGCUCAACCUCGGAACUGCCUCUUAAACUGUUGAUCUUGAGUUCUGGAGAGGUGAGUGGAAUUGCUAGUGUAGAGGUGAAAUUCGUAGAUAUUAGCAGGAACACCAGAGGCGAAGGCGGCUCACUGGACAGAUACUGACGCUGAGGCACGAAAGUGUGGGGAGCAAACAGGAUUAGAUACCCUGGUAGUCCACACCGUAAACGAUGAGAGCUAGUUGUCUGCAAGCAUGCUUGUAGGUGACGCAGCUAACGCAUUAAGCUCUCCGCCUGGGGAGUACGGUCGCAAGAUUAAAACUCAAA